AUUGAACGCUGGCGGCAGGCCUAACACAUGCAAGUCGAGCGGAUGAAGGGAGCUUGCUCCUGGAUUCAGCGGCGGACGGGUGAGUAAUGCCUAGGAAUCUGCCUGGUAGUGGGGGAUAACGUCCGGAAACGGGCGCUAAUACCGCAUACGUCCUGAGGGAGAAAGUGGGGGAUCUUCGGACCUCACGCUAUCAGAUGAGCCUAGGUCGGAUUAGCUAGUUGGUGGGGUAAAGGCCUACCAAGGCGACGAUCCGUAACUGGUCUGAGAGGAUGAUCAGUCACACUGGAACUGAGACGCGGUCCAGACUCCUACGGGAGGCAGCAGUGGGGAAUAUUGGACAGUGGGCGAAAGCCUGAUCCAACCGUGCCGCGUGUGUGAAGAAGGUCUUCGGAUUGUAAAGCACUUUAAGUUGGGAGGAAGGGCAGUAAGUUAAUACCUUGCUGUUUUGACGUUACCAACAGAAUAAGCACCGGCUAACUUCGUG
rnacentral:rRNA from 1 species